rnacentral:lncRNA from 1 species
GUUAAGUUAAAUUUUAGAUAAAUUCACUGCGAUAUAAAACAAAUUCUAAGACCAAUAUUUGUUACAUGUCUGUCUUGUUUUACUAUCAAUGUCAUCAUGUCGGGCUGUUCAAUAUAGGUUUUAUAAGAAUGAUUCGACUGUUUUAUAAACUGUGGUAUCUUGUGGAGAGUUGUCUCAUAGGCAAUCCUGCCACAUCUCCUUUUAUAUAUUUACUGACAAGUUGAAAACAGAAAUACUAUGUUCUGAACACAAUUAGGAGGGCUUUUAUAAAAUCUUAUUAAAACACUUUAAGUACAAUACGUCUAUAACAAAUCUUUUAAAAACACAAAAUUACAAAAGUGAUUAUUUAUCAAUACGUUGGGGCUUAAUCAUGUUUAUUUUCAUUAACAUCAACAAUUAAUUCUUAUUUGAUAUGACUUUCUUACUGUUUUAAUUUAAGGAAGUUCGCUUAUGGAAUUUUUGUCAGAUUUUCGGAAUUUAUCCAUUUGAACAUGUUGAAUGCCUUCAAAAAUUUUGCCUGGUGACCCACAUUUUUCUUUUUAUAAUUCUUUUACAUGUAUAAUGAUAAGCUGUCUGUUAAAGUCUUAUAAAAUUUUAAGAAUUUUUUUUAUCGUUUUUGAGGACUUGCCAAAAUUUCAAGGACUAAUAUCUCGAAAACAAGCACGAUGACCUAUAUUGUUUUGUGAUCUUUUGAUUCCUUUAUUAAUCCCCUAUCGAUAUAUGCUAGUAUUUUGAAAAGUUAAUUAUUUUGAAACUGAGAAGCCAACUUCCGUAAGCGCGACUGAGGUAGAAAUACAUAGUAAGGAAAAAAAUGACACUCAUAUUUGUUUACCAC